GGAGAGAGAAAGGAGUACGAAAUGCAAAAACCGUGGAAGGGGGUUCCACGGUUUUUGCAUUUCGUACUCCUUUCUCUCUCCA
rnacentral:pre_miRNA from 1 species